rnacentral:lncRNA from 1 species
CACAAAUGAGGCCUUACUCCCUUUUGUGGGGCGAAGUGCACAAAUAGCCACUUUUAACGCCACUGUCUAAACAGCCUCUGUUCAUAAAAAAGUAGUAGUACUUAAAUAGCAUUAUUUCAAUUAAUAAAUAAUAGGCUAAAUACUUAGAUAGCCGUUAAACUUGGCCCGUUUUGUAAAAUAGUCAUUCAAAUUUAGCGAGUGACAGGAUAGACACUUGAACUUGGCAGAAGUGUGUCUAGUGAACACAUCAUCCUAACAUGGCAACUUGUGUGUUUUGCACUCCACAUUAGCGUGCAAAUAGCUUAAAUUAGGCUUUUUCUUAUCUUUUUUUCCCUAACAAAUUUCAACGUAUCUAUGUUCUACAUUUCAGCAUAUGGGCCCCAUAAUUUCACCUUCCUUCACUACUUUCCUCAGAGUCUUUCAUCUACGCCUUCAUCUAUGGUACCUUUUCUUCAUUUUUGCAAAACCAACUAGGUCAAUACUAUAUCACAAUAAACAUGAAAAGAAAAAAGUAAAUUAAAAAGAAAAAUUAUCGAAGACACCCAAUGAAACAUGAUUGCACAAAUUAAGUUUACGAAGAGAUUUUUAAUGUGCAUACUGUAAAAAUCAAAUCUUAUACCCAACAAAUUGGUAUUUCUAAAAACCCUAACCUUGUAGGUUGUAGCACUCAACAAAUAGGUAUUCAACUUUCAGUUUCGGGCGACGGGAGCUGGGUGUAUGGUGCGACGAAUCUUUUACUGGUGGAUGAAUCAAGCCCGCCGCUCAACUCAAUUUUCCUAGCAUUUAGAAUGCUUUUUUAAGAUCAUUUGGAUUAAAGUUUAUAUUUAGGCAGUAUAAACUAUCUGAUAGCUGAAUUUGAAUUUACGUUGUACUAAGGCAUAAAUAAACUAAGGCAUAAUAUAUAUUGAGAUCUUUCCUAAAC